CAGCGCUCCAGCUGCGGCUGUCUGGUUCCAAUACCGCCAGCUCGGCAGACGGGGGUUGGACUGGGUGCCAGCCUCUGGUAGUGUCGGGCACACGCGGAGCAACAGGAUACCAAAGAAAGGAAGAAAGAGCAGCAGAGAGGCCGGGAGAGAGGAAGGGUUCCUGCAGUGCGUGCUCUCCCCUGGGCUAAAUUCUGCAGGGCCACUGGGCGGGCAUGAACCGCUGUCAAGGUCGCAGGCCUCUUAUGUAAGGAGCUGAAGGGGAAAUAAAAUAUACAGGAUGAAAAGAUGGCAACAUUGCCACCCCCAGGACCUCAGAGCUUUGUCCACUUCACAAAACAGUCCCUUGCCCUCAUUGAACAACGCAUUGCUGAAGAAAAAGCAAAGGAACCCAAAGAAGAAAAGAAAGAUGAGGAGGAGGAUGGUCCAAAGCCAAGCAGUGACUUGGAAGCCGGCAAGCAGUUGCCCUUCAUUUAUGGAGACAUUCCACCCGGCAUGGUGUCAGAGCCCCUGGAGGACCUGGACCCGUACUAUGCAGACAAAAAGACUUUUAUAGUAUUGAACAAAGGGAAAGCAAUCUUCCGUUUCAAUGCCGCACCUGCUUUAUACAUACUGUCUCCUUUCAGUCGUCUGAGAAGAAUAUCUAUUAAGAUUUUAGUACACUCAUAUCCUUUCCAAAAUAUAUACUUGAAAGAUAUUGGAGAGCAAAGUUUUUACUAC
rnacentral:lncRNA from 1 species